AACGGAAUCCGUAAGCGGCCGCAUUUUUCGCAUCCACCAGCGCCGGAUUUCGGUGCUUGUAAAAGCUGCCAUGCGAAUGCGACGCACGCGAAGGGCCGGUUUCUUCGCCUCUCGGAUAGAACGCCUCAAAUGUCCCCUUCGGAGGUAUCACCGACGUAACCUCAGGAUCGCUCGGGUCGUAGCAGUUCAUCAUUUUAAGAAAAAUUAACAGCAACAAACUCUUCGCGUACAUCGUAAACAAUUAGGACAUCGCUUCCGCAACAGAACAAUAUGUGUACAUUCGGGUCGUAUUCGCGUGUAGAACUAACGUUUGAAAUUGCGCUUUCUCUUCGGGUGCGGCAUUGACAUUUCGGUCUCCCGUCCUCGAAAUUUCAAAUCAACUGAAACCACCGACGUGAAGGUAGAGGGCAGGGCCGUUCUAAUGGAGUUGGCUAGUGAGUACGAAAGGCUGCCGAAACAACAGGGGGUACAUUUUGAGCCCUAACCACUGUGGCAGGAAUUUAAGCCCAAAUACCAAGAGAUACCGCACCUUAAAACAUUCCAGCGAAACCAAAAUGACAUCCUAUGUCCGCAAGUGAAUCUGAACUCCGUUUUAAUUUAAAGAGACAGAAAAAUACAUAUACUUAGUUGGGGACAUCCAAAUGCCGCAGUAAGAGAAAAACGUCACUUGUGCAUUGAUUAAAAUGUAAACUGGAUUAGAAAUAAAUUACUUUAAAAUAA